rnacentral:rRNA from 1 species
GAUGAACGCUAGCGGCAGGCCUAAUACAUGCAAGACGAACGGUAAGUUGAGUAGCAAUACUUAGCCAAGAGUGUCGUACGGGUGCGUAACACGUAUGCAACCUACCCUAUACAGGAGGAUAGCCUAGGGAAACCUGGAUUAACCCUUCAUAGUAUUAUUGGAUGGCAUCAUUUGAUAAUUAAAACUGAGGUGGUAUAGGAUGGGCAUGCGUCUGAUUAGUUAGUUGGCGGGGUAAUGGCCCACCAAGACGAUGAUCAGUAGGGGUUCUGAGAGGAAGAUCCCCCACACUGGCACUGAGAUACGGGCCAGACUCCUACGGGAGGCAGCAGUAGGGAAUAUUGGGUCAAUGGAUGCAAGUCUGAACCAGCCAUGCCGCGUGCAGGAAGAAGGCCUUCUGGGUUGUAAACUGCUUUUGCCAGGGGAUAAAAUUUCCAUGCGUGGAAAACUGAAGGUACCUGGUGAAUAAGCCACGGCUAACUACGUGCCAGCAGCCGCGGUAAU